GAUGAACGCUAGCUACAGGCUUAACACAUGCAAGUCGAGGGGCAGCAUGAACUUAGCUUGCUAAGUUUGAUGGCGACCGGCGCACGGGUGAGUAACACGUAUCCAACCUGCCGAUGACUCGGGGAUAGCCUUUCGAAAGAAAGAUUAAUACCCGAUGGCAUAGUUCUUCCGCAUGGUAGAACUAUUAAAGAACUUCGGUCAUCGAUGGGGAUGCGUUCCAUUAGGUUGUUGGCGGGGUAACGGCCCACCAAGCCUUCGAUGGAUAGGGGUUCUGAGAGGAAGGUCCCCCCACAUUGGAACUGAGACACGGUCCAAACUCCUACGGGAGGCAGCAGUGAGGAAUAUUGGUCAAUGGACGAGAGUCUGAACCAGCCAAGUAGCGUGAAGGAUGACUGCCCUAUGGGUUGUAAACUUCUUUUAUACGGGAAUAAAGUGAGGCACGUGUGCCUUUUUGUAUGUACCGUAUGAAUAAGGAUCGGCUAACUCCGUG
rnacentral:rRNA from 1 species